UGUGAGUUAGAUACCUAAGAAGAAAAUAUGCGUGGUAAAGAAAAAUCCAAAUUUUCUAUUUCUUACUAACAUUGAAGAAUUUUAUGUCCUUGUGAAUCAAGUUUGCACUUAUAUGUAUAUUCUAGGUGAACGAUUAUAUUCUAUUUAAAUUACGUACUUUGUAUAAAAAUGUCAUCUCAUCAUAUAGGUCGAUCAACUAACUGAUGAGAUGACAGCCCACAAUUUUACUGUUUCGGCAAUGCAUGGUGAUAUGGGAUCGUGAAUUGAUUAUGAAACAAUUUCGUUCUGACACGUCACAUGUAUUGAUUACAACCGAUUUAUUGGCUCGUGGAAUUGAUGUCCAGCAAGUAUCAUUGGUUAUUAACUAUGAUUUGCCUUUAAAUAGAGAAAAUUACAUUCAUUGGUAAAUACAAAAAAAUAACCGCAAUAACUCCUCAUAAAAAGUGGUGCAACAAAACAACAGAAAAUAUUUAAACAAUAUAAACAAGCCAACUUUGACAAUUAGCCAUUUAAUACAACAUGAGUUGGAAAUAAAUUGUAAAAGUAAAAGCUAAGAAAACAUUUAUCUAAAAGUAUCAAAAAUAGAACCCGUCAUGUUUUUAAGAUAUUCUGAAUCCAAUUGAGUGAUUGACCUGUUUUAAUACUCAACAACCCAUUAAUACUCAUCGUUAGGGUGACCAUCCGAACUUGCCAAUAACGCGGAAGUCUUAGAGUAGAAAUGAAGGAUUUGGCGGGAAAACAAUUAAAAAAACGGGAUCUUUGAAUUCUCCCACAUACAAUAAGCACCAAUAACAUGUUGUCUGGUUGUACCGGAUUAACCCGAUUAAGUUCUUCAUCGGCAAGUGUUGCCCAGUAUACAACACUCUGCUACAACAUCAACAACCACAAAAUUAUUUUUGUACCCUUCACUUUGGGAUAGUGUUGAACUGAUUUCGGCAUUCCAUUUGUAAUACAUCGUCCAAGGCCUGGGCUCCGAAUUCCAUGUUUACAUCUUUUUAAUAUUGAGUGGUUAGUUAUAUUAUAUUGUUUACUUUUACGCUGUAGAAACUUGUGAGUACCGGAUUGACCCGAUGAAGUCCUUUAUCGGCAAGGGCUGACUCUUUAGUGUAUAACACACUGCCACAACAACAAAAAAUUUACGAACUUAUUUGUUCUCUGCACUGAGAUCAGCCUGCAAUCGCGGACAAUCAGAAGUAUCGAGUGGAGAGUCUCAGUGAGAGACCGGGUAGCACCAGCUCUUGUUUAAUAUUGAGUUAAAUAACCAAUCGCCAUCAUGUUCCCGCGAAAAUCGGUCGUAUAUACCGGAACGAGUUUGCUGGCCUAUAAGACUUGACGAGGAUUGCUACCUCCACAUGCAAAUGUGGCCACAACAGCAAUAGUAGCUUGCAGAACACACAUCUGAAUUUGAAAAGGGGUCUUAAAGACGACUUGAUUCACAAGCGCAUUAGAAAACAAGUUGAGUCUUAGAAGGAAGAACUUACCCUUAAAAGUAUUAAACAAUCUUAUAUCAACGUCAAGCAAGAAAAUUGGAAACUUGUCACAUUGUGUGAUUUGUACGACUCACGUUCAAUUAGCCAAUCGGUGAUUUUCUGCAACAUCAGACGCAAGGUAAAUUAUAUUAGAUCAGCCUGCAAUCGCGGACAAUCAGGAGUAUCGAGUGGAGAGUCUCAGUGAGAGGCCGGGUGGCACCAGCUCAUGUUUAAAUAUUGAGUUAAAUAAUCAAUCGCCAUCAUGUUUUCGCGACAAUCAGUCGUAUAGACCGGAACGAGUUUGCUGGCCUAUAAGACUUGACGAGGAUUGUCACCUCCACAUGCAAAUUUGGCUACAACACCAACAGUAGCUUGCAGAACACACAUCUGAAUUUGAACAGGGGUCUUAAAGACGACUUGAUUCACAAGCGCAAUAGAAAAGAAGUUAAGUCUUAGAAGGAAGAACUUACACUUAAAAGUAUUAAACAAUUUCAUAUCAACGUCAAGCAAGAAAAUUGGAAACUUGUCACAUUGUGUGAUUUGUACGACACACGUUCAAUUAGCCAAUCGGUGAUUUUCUGCAACACCUGACGCAAGCAUUUCGAUAAACUAAUUGAAGAGAUGACAGCCCACAAUUUUACGAUUGGUCAGCCAUGCCAAACUAUUUGAAGCCAUCGCCAACACACCCCUCCAGCCAGGUCUGCAACGCUGAGUUGCGAAUUAUCUGUGUAGUCGGCAGUCAUUUGAGGAAUUAAGGCAUAACUCCUCCCGAGACUUGUAGGAGAAUUUCCAUUCGCCGAGCAUCAACAUGAAUUUCGAAGACUGAAUAGCACGGUCGUAUAGACCGGAACGAGUUUGCUGGGCUAUAAGACUUGACGAGGAUUGGCACCACAUGCAAAUGUGGCUACAACAGCAACAGUAGCUUGCAGAGCAUA
rnacentral:sRNA from 1 species